rnacentral:rRNA from 1 species
UACGUAGGGGGGCGAGCGUUGUCCGGGAGUUACUGGGCGUAAAGCGCACGCAGGCGGUCUGCUAAGUUUGGAGUGACAGUUGGUGGCUUAACUGCCAAAGUGCUUCGAAAACUGACAGACUUGAGGGCUUCAGAGGGACACGGAAUUCCGGGUGGGAGUGGUGAAAGCGUAGAGAUCCGGAAGAACACCGGUGGCUGAAGGCGGUCUGCUGGGCAGUUGCUGACGCUGAUGCGCGACCAGCGUGGGGAGCAAACGAGG